GAGGAAUAUUGGUCAAUGGGCGUAAGCCUGGACCAGCCAAGUAGCGUGCAGGAUGACGGCCCUAUGGGUUGUAAACUGCUUUUAUGCGGGGAUAAAGUGCGGGACGUGUCCCGCUUUGCAGGUACCGCAUGAAUAAGGACCGGCUAAUUCCGUGCCAGCAGCCGCGGUAAUACGGAAGGUCCGGGCGUUAUCCGGAUUUAUUGGGUUUAAAGGGAGCGUAGGCCGUGUAUUAAGUGUGUUGUGAAAUGUAGAUGCUCAACAUCUGAACUGCAGCGCAUACUGGUGCACUUGAGUACGCACAACGUAGGCGGAAUUCGUCGUGUAGCGGUGAAAUGCUUAGAUAUGACGAAGAACUCCGAUUGCGAAGGCAGCUUACGGGAGCGCAACUGACGCUGAUGCUCGAAGGUGCGGGUAUCGAAC
rnacentral:rRNA from 1 species